rnacentral:rRNA from 1 species
AGUGAACGCUGGCGGUAGGCCUAACACAUGCAAGUCGAACGGCAGCACAGUAAGAGCUUGCUCUUACGGGUGGCGAGUGGCGGACGGGUGAGGAAUACAUCGGAAUCUACUUUUUCGUGGGGGGUAACGUAGGGAAACUUACGCUAAUACCGCAUACGACCUACGGGUGAAAGCAGGGGAUCUUCGGACCUUGCGCGAUUGAAUGAGCCGAUGUCGGAUUAGCUAGUUGGCGGGGUAAAGGCCCACCAAGGCGACGAUCCGUAGCUGGUCUGAGAGGAUGAUCAGCCACACUGGAACUGAGACACGGUCCAGACCCCUACGGGAGGCAGCAGUGGGGAAUAUUGGACAAUGGGCGCAAGCCUGAUCCAGCCAUACCGCGUGGGUGAAGAAGGCCUUCGGGUUGUAAAGCCCUUUUGUUGGGAAAGAAAAGCAGCAGGUUAAUACCCCGCUGUUCUGACGGUACCCAAAGAAUAAGCACCGGCUAACUUCGUG